ensembl:lncRNA
GCUUUAUCCUUUUGUCAUAGAUGGAUUUGGCUUUUGCCCCAGCUUUUCUCACAGGCUCCAAAUCGCUCCCAAUUCCCUCUGCAGCGUAUCCAGACAUGCCAUAGCCCUGAAAUGGGCCAAUCCAAGCAAAGGAAACAUUAAAGAAGAGAAGAGGAGACACCAGUGGGCAAAAGAGAUGCAGAGGAUCAGGGAGGAAGCUAUACGCCUCGUUCAUCUCUGUUUACUCCAGCUGUCUCCCAUGCCACAGACAGAAAGAACAAGAAGAGGGUGGAGAAACUGAGAAGCUGGAGAGUUACACACCAAGCAAGGAAGGCUGAAAGAGAGAGAAUGAUGAAGACAUGCCAGUGGACAAUGCGGUUUCGCAAGGGCAGGCGAUGGGGAAAGGGAGAACAGCAGCACAAAUCCACCGUCACCCCGUGGCUCCUGGGAAUGUGGCUCGGGGAACGGCACAGGGGAGAAAUCUCUCUGUUCGAGGCCCAGCUGAGAACAUUAUUGGAUUGGCCAGAUUAUGGGGAAGAAAGCAAAGAAAAAAGAAGGUCCAAGCAAGACGGAUUUAGCUCUAUGGUGACUGUCAGGGACAUGGUGGGAGUCUGCAGUGCUGAAUGCUCAUCAGGAGCUCCCACGGUGGAGGUUCACCCAUCCCAAGGGCACACCGCUUGCUUUGGCAUGGCAUGGGAUUACAGGCGGUCCAGUCUCAGCGGCGCCUCAGGUUGGCAGGAUAUUAAUUAAGUAAUUAUCAUGCCGUGAGGCGCAGCUAUGAAUUAUGCAUGAGGUCUUGAUUGGGACAUUUGUGAUUGUGUAAUCUAAUUUCAGCCAUAUGUCUGACGCCUUUAGCUGAGUGUCUAACAUCCGACAGCCCCCAAGCACAAAUAUACACAAAGACAUUUUCAGGGUUUCAAUUAUAUAUUUAAAAUUCUGACAUAUUCAAAUAUAGAAGUUUUUUUUCACACUGUGGACAAACGCUCAUCAUCAUCAUAAACAUUAUUGGAAAGACUGGAAUACCAAUAUGGGAUCGAUUUUUAUUAGGGGAGGCUGGGACUAGUCACACAUUUUUACUCUAAAAAAACAAACAAAAAAACACUCUACUCUAGAAUAUUUCUUAUGGUAUGUUCCUCAAAUUUAGUGUGUUCUUGGCUAAAGAAAAAAAGGUAAUGAAUAUUGUAACUUUUAUUGACUAAAUAAAUAACACCCCAACAUA